UGCUAUCAUCAAAGAGCCGAGGCCUGUCGC
rnacentral:piRNA from 1 species